rnacentral:rRNA from 1 species
UACGUAGGGCGCGAGCGUUGUCCGGAAUUAUUGGGCGUAAAGAGCUCGUAGGCGGUUUGUCGCGUCGGUUGUGAAAACCCAAGGCUCAACCUUGGGCCUGCAAUCGAUACGGGCAGACUAGAGUACUGCAGGGGAGACUGGAAUUCCUGGUGUAGCGGUGGAAUGCGCAGAUAUCAGGAGGAACACCGGUGGCGAAGGCGGGUCUCUGGGGCGAGUAACUGACGCUGGAGGAGCGAAAGCCGUGGGGAGCGAACAGG